rnacentral:rRNA from 1 species
AUUGAACGCUGGCGGAAUGCUUUACACAUGCAAGUCGAGCGGCAGCGCGGGGCAACCUGGCGGCGAGCGGCGAACGGGUGAGUAAUGUAUCGGAACGUGUCCUGUCGUGGGGGAUAGCCCGGUGAAAACCGGAUUAAUACCGCAUACGAUCGAGAGAUGAAAGUGGGGGACCGCAAGUCCUCACGCGAUAGGAGCGGCCGAUAUCUGAUGAGCCAGUUGGUGGGGUAAAGGCCCAGCAAGGCUGCGAUCAGUAGCUGGUCUGAGAGGAUGGCCAGCCAGACGGGGACUGAGACACGGCCCCGACUCCUUCGGGAGGCAGCAAUGAGGAAUAUUGCGCAAUGGGGGAAACCCUGACGCAGCGACGCCGCGUGGGCGAGGAAGUCCUUCGGGAUGUAAAGCCCUUUUCUGGGGGACGAACGGUGGCGGGUUAACCGUCACCCUGACGGUACCCCAGGAAGAAGCCUCGGCUAACUACGUGCCAGCCGCCGCAGUAAUAC